UUAGAUACCCCACUAUGCCCAACAUUAACCUACUAUUAAAUAACAUAUUGUUCGCCAAAUAACUACGAGUAAUAACUUAAAAUUUAAAAGACUUGACGGUACUUCACAACAACCUAGAGGAGCCUGUCCAAUAACCGAUACCCCGCGAUUAACCCAACCCAGGCUAGCCCAACAGUCUAUAUACCGCCGUCGCCAGCUUACCUUGUGAGAGAAACAAAGUGAACCAAAUAGUUAUACACUAACACGACAGGUCGAGGUGUAACUUAUGCUUGGGUAAUGAUGGGCUACAUUUUCUAUUCAGAAUACACGGAUAAACUGUGAAAUCAUAAACUGAAGGUGGAUUUAGAAGUAAGAUAGGAACAAAACACCUAACCGAAAUCAAUGCAAUGAAGUGCGCACACACCGCCCGUCAUCCCUGACACAACAACAACAAUAAAAUAUACCAACACACAAUCUAAAACAGGGCAAGUCGUAACUGUAAG
rnacentral:rRNA from 1 species